UGAUAGAAUUUAUGCUUAAAAAUGAUAUCACAAAUUUAAAUAAAAACCCUCGUAAAAACCCCAAGUUUUCCUUCCUUCAAAAAUAUUUAUCCAGGAAAUGAUUCCAGAGACAAUUCUCAGAUACUGCUACUUUCUGCUAGAAGAAAAGUCAAACUCAUCAAGUUACUGUUGCUUUCAAGAUAGUGAUGUUGUACUGUCUGCUUUUUCGAGGGAAGUCUUGAAAGAUCUGUAACAAAAUGUAUGGGGGCAAAAGGCCUGUUAGAGGUAAUCAGCCUCCUCCAAUUACUUACAAGAGGAAUCGAAAUGGGGGAAUGCCUUUUGACCUUGCUGAUUUUGUCCAUGAUGGACAUUCCCCUUCCAUUUCUGAGAACAAUAAGCCAAAUGACAUAAAAUCUGGAACUUCGUCGCCAGAAAUAUUCAGCACGACUGAGCUUGUCUCAGCAGUUGGGCAGGUUUGGAAUCUUUUGAAUCCUUGCGCCAUUCCUGAAACCAAGGAUCAGAAAAAUGUUAUCUUGAAUGAUCUGAACGGGGCAGGAGCUGGCGGGGCAGCUAUUCUAGAUGAUAAUACUAAAUACUUUUGUGUUGAUAUAAGGAAUGGUAGCCAUGUUACACAGAUGGUGCAGCCACAGUUUGAGUUUCUUAAAGUAACUAAGAAGAUGUUGGUGUUUGAACCUUCUAGUCAAAAUUACAGCCGGUCACUGUUCUGGCGGUUUUUGAAGAGAGGUACCAGCUUGCGGAAUGAGUCUCGGGAGGGAAAAGGUCUUGCAACUGUGGGUACUGGAUAUGAAUUGGAUAAGAUAUAUGGAUGGAUGAAGGAACUGAUUCCUGCUGGUUCAAAAUAUCCUGCAAAUAACAGCACAGAAGGUUGCAUUGCCAGAGAUUGUCCAACUAACCCUGCAAAUAACUUAGCUUCUAGAACUGCUGACUGUUAUUCUGAUUCAGUCGAAUCAAAAGAGGUAUCAGUGUGCGAUAAUGCAAGAGUAGUAACUAUAGGAAAAUCCAGCUCUGUAUCCUCUGACCAUUUCCUUGCGGCUCUCCAUGAUUUUAAUGCCAAUAGUAGUGCUUCAAGAGCUCUAAAUUCUGUUCUUUGCUCAGAUUAUCAUAUUAAUUGUUUAGCUCCAUGUAAGAGUACACAUGAACAUUUUGAAAAUGACAUUGGUGAUUUUGAUGCACCUAAAAAUGCAAGAGAACAACCUCAAAAUCUGGUUACUCAGGGCAGAACUGGAAUACAAAUUCAGUCAUCAGCAUGCGAAAGACCUCAGUAUGCCUUAGCUAAGCAAGAGCAUGCUUUUGCGGGUGCAUUUGCUGGUAUUUUUGUUAGCCUUUCUCUGCAUCCUAUAGAUACAGUAAAGACAAUCAUCCAAUCUUGCCCUGCAGAACAGAAGUCUAUCUCCUUCAUUGGAAGAUCAAUUGUUUCUGAAAGAGGCAUGACCGGGCUUUAUCGUGGAAUAGGUAGCAAUAUUGCAUCGUCAGCUCCAAUUUCUGCCAUUUACACUUUUACAUAUGAAUCAGUUAAAGGAUCUUUGCUUCCUCAUUUUCCCAAGGAACAUCAUUCUUUUGCCCAUUGCAUUGCAGGCGGUUGUGCAAGCAUUGCAACUUCCUUUGUUUUUACUCCCAGUGAACGUAUAAAGCAGCAGAUGCAAAUUGGUUCACACUAUAACAAUUGCUGGAGUGCACUGGUUGGAAUAAUUGGAAAAGGUGGUUUCCACUCGUUGUAUGCAGGUUGGGGAGCUGUACUCUGUCGGAACAUUCCACAGUCAGUGAUCAAGUUUUACACAUAUGAAAGCUUGAAGCAGUUGGUGCUGUCAUCUCAAAAUUCCAGUGCUCAACCCAGUACAUUACAAACGCUAGUUUGCGGAGGAUUAGCAGGAUCUACUGCAGCCUUAUUUACAACUCCUUUUGAUGUGGUGAAGACAAGAUUGCAGACGCAGUGGCAUUUUGCAGAUUCCUGGAUCCAUGAGCCCAUAUGGAAACGUAUUUCAUGCACUUCAAGAAAUAGGCAAGAAUGAAGGUUUGAAGGGUCUCUAUAGGUAACUCUGCUGUGGCUUUUGAGUUGAAGAAUGUCAGGGUGUUAAAAAUCUGAAGUUUUUUAGGAUGAACUAUAGUAUCUAGAAGUGUGACAUAUUUGGCAAAUUUAUUAGAAGUUUGAGAAGGCAACACACAUCUGAGGAGCUUAUGACCUGGGAUUAACUCCGAGAUUGGUUAUGUACAUGUCUCAAGGAGCACUAUUCUUUGCAUCAUAUGAAUUUUUGAAAAGAUUAUUUUCUUUGGAGAUGCCACAGUUUAGGGCUUAAAGUAUUCAGUACAAAGAAAGGACUGAAGAUGAUUCAGCAUCGUUGCCAAUAGCAUCAUAAUCACAAUGUUGGCACCCCGUCAUCAAGAUGAUCAGGAUUAUUUGUGAACAAGUGUGUUCACUUGAAGAAUAAAGAAAGAAGAUAUCUUCGUGGAUCAUGAUUAUUUUGUGAACUGUGUUGAUUGGAAUUGGAAGAAUAAAGGAAUGAGAGAGUCCAUCAAGGGAACCGUGGACUGGAAAUGGAUGCUGUACCUGCAACAUGAAGUGGAUUUUUGUCUUUGCCAUUCACCUCAGCUAAAUAUGAUAUUCCAUGCUAUUCUAGCCUGUCUCGGGUUUCUGGAAAACAUCGACCAGGAUAUGAACCAAAUUCUUGGUGUUUACAUUAUCGAAAAACCAAUGCUGUUCUGGUGCUGCUUUUUUUGUCACAGAGAAUGUAGUAGUGGAUGAAUAAUGGAACCAACACUAAUGCUAUUUUGAAUCCAAAUUCUUUAUAGUCCAAUCACUGCAAUUUUUUUAAGAUAUAUUAAUUAUUUAAGCACUGGAAGCAUUUCA